rnacentral:rRNA from 1 species
ACUAAGCGUACACGGUGGAUGCCCUGGCAGUCAGAGGCGAUGAAGGACGUGCUAAUCUGCGAUAAGCGUCGGUGAGGUGAUAUGAACCGUUAUAACCGGCGAUUUCCGAAUGGGGAAACCCAGUGUGUUUCGACACACUAUCAUUAACUGAAUCCAUAGGUUAAUGAGGCGAACCGGGGGAACUGAAACAUCUAAGUACCCGAGGAAAGAAAUCAACCGAGAUUCCCCAGUAGCGGCGAGCGAACGGGAGGAGCCCAGAGCCUGAAUCAGUGUGUGUGUUAGUGGAAGCGUCUGGAAAGGCGCGCGAUACAGGGUGACAGCCCGUACACAAAAUGCACAUAUUGUGAGCUCGAUGAGUAGGGCGGGACACGUGGUAUCCUGUCUGAAUAUGGGGACCAUCCUCCAAGGCUAAAUACUCCUGACUGACCGAUAGUGAACCAGUACCGUGAGGGAAAGGCGAAAAGAACCCGGCGAGGGAGUGAAAAGAACCUGAAACCGUGUACGUACAAGCAGUGGGAGCCUCUUAAUGGGGUGACUGCGUACCUUUGUAUAAUGGGUCAGCGACUUAUAUUCUGUAGCAAGGUUAACCGAAUAGGGAGCCGAAGGGAAACCGAGUCUUAACUGGGCGUUAAGUUGCAGGGUAUAGACCCGAAACCCGGUGAUUCAGCCAUGGGCAGGUUGAAGGUUGGGUAACACUAACUGGAGGACCGAACCGACUAAUGUUGAAAAAUUAGCGGAUGACUUGUGGCUGGGGGUGAAAGGCCAAUCAAACCGGGAGAUAGCUGGUUCUCCCCGAAAGCUAUUUAGGUAGCGCCUCGUGAAUUCAUCUCCGGGGGUAGAGCACUGUUUCGGCAAGGGGGUCAUCCCGACUUACCAACCCGAUGCAAACUGCGAAUACCGGAGAAUGUUAUCACGGGAGACACACGGCGGGUGCUAACGUCCGUCGUGAAGAGGGAAACAACCCAGACCGCCAGCUAAGGUCCCAAAGUCAUGGUUAAGUGGGAAACGAUGUGGGAAGGCCCAGACAGGGAUGUUGGCUUAGAAGCAGCCAUCAUUUAAAGAAAGCGGGUUCCUGUCCAACGUUAAUCUGUGAGGGGCAGGGUGAGUCGACCUAAGGCGAGGCCGAAAGGCGUAGUCGAUGGGAAACAGGUUAAUAUUCCUGUACUUGGUGUUACUGCGAAGGGGACGGAGAAGGCUAUGUUGGCCGGGCGACGGUUGUCCCGGUUUAAGCGUGUAGGCUGGUUUUCCGUGCAAAUCCGGAAAAUCAAGGCUGAGGCGUGAUGACGAGGCACUACGGUGCUGAAGCGACAAAUGCCCUGCUUCCGGAAAAGCCUCUAAGCAUCAGGUAACAUCAAAUCGUACCCCAAACCGACACAGGUGGUCAGGUAGAGAAUACCAAGGCGCUUGAGAGAACUCGGGUGAAGGAACUAGGCAAAAUGGUGCCGUAACUUCGGGAGAAGGCACGCUGAUAUGUAGGUGAAGCGACUUGCUCGUGGAGCUGAAAUCAGUCGAAGAUACCAGCUGGCUGCAACUGUUUAUUAAAACACAGCACUGUGCAAACACGAAAGUGGACGUAUACGGUGUGACGCCUGCCCGGUGCCGGAAGGUUAAUUGAUGGGGUUAGCGGUAACGCGAAGCUCUUGAUCGAAGCCCGGUAAACGGCGGCCGUAACUAUAACGGUCCUAAGGUAGCGAAAUUCCUUGUCGGGUAAGUUCCGACCUGCACGAAUGGCGUAAUGAUGGCGCUGUCUCCACCCGAGACUCAGUGAAAUUGAACUCGCUGUGAAGAUGCAGUGUACCCGCGGCAAGACGGAAAGACCCCGUGAACCUUUACUAUAGCUUGACACUGAACAUUGAGCCUUGAUGUGUAGGAUAGGUGGGAGGCUUUGAAGUGUGGACGCCAGUCUGCAUGGAGCCGACCUUGAAAUACCACCCUUUAAUGUUUGAUGUUCUAACGUGGGCCCCUUACCGGGGUUGCGGACAGUGUCUGGUGGGUAGUUUGACUGGGGCGGUCCUCCUAAAGAGUAACGGAGGAGCACGAAGGUUGGCUAAUCGGUCGGACAUCAGGAGGUUAGUGCAAUGGCAUAAGCCAGCUUGACUGCGAGCGUGACGGCGCGAGCAGGUGCGAAAGCAGGUCAUAGUGAUCCGGUGGUUCUGAAUGGAAGGGCCAUCGCUCAACGGAUAAAAGGUACUCCGGGGAUAACAGGCUGAUACCGCCCAAGAGUUCAUAUCGACGGCGGUGUUUGGCACCUCGAUGUCGGCUCAUCACAUCCUGGGCUGAAGUAGGUCCCAAGGGUAUGGCUGUUCGCCAUUUAAAGUGGUACGCGAGCUGGGUUUAGAACGUCGUGAGACAGUUCGGUCCCUAUCUGCCGUGGGCGCUGGAGAACUGAGGGGCUGCUCCUAGUACGAGAGGACCGGAGUGGACGCAUCACUGGUGUUCGGGUUGUCAUGCCAAUGGCACUGCCCGGUAGCUAAAUGCGGAAGAGAUAAGUGCUGAAAGCAUCUAAGCACGAAACUUGCCCCGAGAUGAGUUCUCCCUGACUCCUUGAGAGUCCUGAAGGAACGUUGAAGACGACGACGUUGAUAGGCCGGGUGUGUAAGCGCAGCGAUGCGUUGAGCUAACCGGUACUAAUGAACCGUGAGGCUUAACC